AGUGGCGGACGGGUGAGUAACGCGUGGGUAACCUGCCUCAUACAGGGGGAUAACAGUUAGAAAUGACUGCUAAAACCGCAUAAGCGCACAAAACCGCAUGGUUUGGUGUGAAAAACUCCGGUGGUAUGAGAUGGACCCGCGUCUGAUUAGCUAGUUGGAGAGGUAACGGCUCACCAAGGCGACGAUCAGUAGCCGACCUGAGAGGGUGACCGGCCACAUUGGGACUGAGACACGGCCCAAACUCCUACGGAAGGCAGCAG
rnacentral:rRNA from 1 species